UCACAACUCUAGAAUUAGCCAAAAAUUACAAAAAUUCAAAGGAAAAAAAAGGUAUUUAAUGACAUCGUGCCAUGCAAUGAGCCUGGACUGAAAAUUUCAGAGAACAAAUGAUAAAUUUCUUCAAGGAAAAUGUUGAGGAGUGAGGGGAAUAAAAAGAGGAAGGAGAAGAAAAAGAUAAGUGGAGGCAGAGUCAGGAACAGCAUAAUGUAUCAAUUAAGAGUACAGAGCAGUACAUGUGCAAGUAGAAUGCUGGACAUUAUCUCAUCUCUGCAUCUGGCUAGAGGUACGAUCUGCCCAUGAUGUGCUGCUUCGAGUCAACUGGCCAACCUCCUGUCUUCAUCUGUUCUUCUCAUAUUCUCUAUUCUGAAGAAAGACAGACCAGCUGCUUAAUCCAGAAUCCUACUCAUUACAUCAACUUCUUCCCUCUGUGGUCCUCCAAAGAAGACUUCUGAGCAUACAUCCCAAGGAACUCAUCAGCAAGGUAACUCAUGACCCUGAGAUUAAGACUUGAGCUGAGAUCAAGAGUCUGAAGCUUAACCAACUGAGUCACCCAGGAGCCCUUCUUGGAUUUCUGAAUUUUGUGAUUUAUUCUUCUGGCUUCUCCAUCGAGCUAUAAGCAGUAGAACAGAAGCCAUGUGUUUUAUUUCCACAUUCUCAUUGCCUACCACAGUGUCUAUUAUAUAACAGGUGUUUGAAGAAUGUUUGUUGUUGAAAUAUUCUAUGCUGUAAAUCAACAAAACAGAACACAAUACCUAUAAAAUAAACUCUUUAUGAA